GCGGGAAACCUUUACACUGCACGAAAGUGCGAUAGGGGUACUCUGAGUGCUUACAUUUUAUGUAAGCUUUUGCUAAGAGUAAGCAUCUUAGCGAAUAAGUGGUGGGUAAGACUGGUGCCAGCCGCCGCGGUAACCCCAGCGCCACGAGUGGGAACCACAUUUAUUGGGUCUAAAGCAUCCGUAGCUCGCUUGAUUAGUUCUUUGUGAAAUCAUUAAUGUCAACUUAAUGGCGUGCAAAGAAUACUAGUCAGGCUUGGGAUUGGGAGAAGUCAGCGGUAUUUCCGGGGAAGCGGUAAAAUGUUAUAAUCCUGGGAGGACCACCAAUGGCGAAGGCAGCUGACUAGAACAAGUCCGACGGUGAGGGAUGAAAGCUAGGGGAUCAAAACGG
rnacentral:rRNA from 1 species